GCGCCAGUGGUUUAGUGGUAAAAUUGAUCGUUGCCAUCCAAGAUUCGAUCAGCCCCCGGUUCGAUUCCGGGCUGGCGCA